rnacentral:rRNA from 1 species
UACGAGUGCCCCAAGCGUUGUCCGGAUUUACUGGGCGUAAAGGGUGUGUAGGGGGCUUUGUUAGCCCCGCCUUAAAUAUCCGUGCUUAACACGGGAAAUGGGCGGGGAACGGCAAGGCUUUGAGGAUGCGAGAGGUUGAUGGAACUCUGGGUGUAGGGGUGAAAUCCGUUGAUAUCCAGGGGAACACCAAAGGCGAAAGCAAUCAACUGGCGCAUUUCUGACCCUGAAACACGAAAGCGUGGGGAUCUAAAAGG